AUUGAACGCUGGCGGCAUGCUUUACACAUGCAAGUCGAACGGUAACGCGGGGCAACCUGGCGACGAGCGGCGAACGGGUGAGUAAUGCAUCGGAACGUGCCCGGUAGUGGGGGAUAACUGCUCGAAAGAGCAGCUAAUACCGCAUACGACCUGAGGGUGAAAGGGGGGGAUCGCAAGACCUCUCGCUAUUGGAGCGGCCGAUGUCGGAUAGCUAGUUGGUGGGGUAAGGGCCCACCAAGGCGACGAUCCGUAGCUGGUAUGAGAGGACGACCAGCCACACUGGGACUGGGACACUGCCCAGGCUCCUACGGGAGGCAGCAGUGGGGAAUUUUGGACAAUGGACGCAAGACUGAUCCAGCCAAGCCGCGUGCGGGAAGAAGGCCUUCGGGUUGUAAACCGCUUUUGUCAGAGAAGAAAUCUUCUGGGUUAAUACCUCGGGAGGAUGACGGUAUCUGAAGAAUAAGCACCGGCUAACUACGUGCCAGCAGCCGCGGUAAUAC
rnacentral:rRNA from 1 species